AUGCAAUGUUGAGGACAUUUUCUCAGCAUACCUUAAAUCUAUCCCAUGCCUCAUGCAAUUGCUCUGACUCCAUCUGUCUAAAUUGAGUAAUCUCACCCCUUAGUUG